GACGAACGCUGGCGGCGUGCUUAACACAUGCAAGUCGAACGGAAAGGCCCUGCUUUUGUGGGGUGCUCGAGUGGCGAACGGGUGAGUAACACGUGAGUAACCUGCCCUUGACUUUGGGAUAACUUCAGGAAACUGGGGCUAAUACCGGAUAGGAGCUCCUGCUGCAUGGUGGGGGUUGGAAAGUUUCGGCGGUUGGGGAUGGACUCGCGGCUUAUCAGCUUGUUGGUGGGGUAGUGGCUUACCAAGGCUUUGACGGGUAGCCGGCCUGAGAGGGUGACCGGCCACAUUGGGACUGAGAUACGGCCCAGACUCCUACGGGAGGCAGCAGGGGGGAAUAUUGCACAAUAGGCGGAAGCCUGAUGCAGCAACGCCGCGUGCGGGAUGACGGCCUUCGGGUUGUAAACCGCUUUCGCCUGUGACGAAGCGUGAGUGACGGUAAUGGGUAAAGAAGCACCGGCUAACUACGUG
rnacentral:rRNA from 1 species